GACGAACGCUGGCGGCGUGCUUAACACAUGCAAGUCGAACGGAAAGGCCCUGCUUUUGUGGGGUGCUCGAUUGGCGAACGGGUGAGUAACACGUGAGUAACCUGCCCUUGACUUUGGGAUAACUUCAGGAAACUGGGGCUAAUACCGGAUAGGAUCUCCUGCUGCAUGGUGGGGGUUGGAAAGUUUCGGCGGUCGUGGAUGGACUCGCGGCUUAUCAGCUUGUUGGUGGGGUAGUGGAUUACCAAGGCUUUGACGGGUAGCCGGCCUGAGAGGGUGACCGGCCACAUUGGGACUGAGAUACGGCCCAGUCUGCUACGGGAGGCAGCAGUGGGGAAUAUUGCACAAUGGGAGGACGCCUGAUGCGGCAACGCCGCGUGCGGGAUGACGGCCUUCGGGGUGUAAACCGCUUUCGCCUGUGACGACGCGUGAGUGACGGUAAUGGGUAAAGAAGCACCGGCUAACUACGUG
rnacentral:rRNA from 1 species